AGGACGAACGCUGGCGGCGUGCUUAACACGUGCAAGUCGAGCGGAAAGGCCCUUCGGGGUACUCGAGCGGCGAACGGGUGAGUAACACGUGAGUAAUCUGCCCCUAGCUCUGGGAUAGCUCCGGGAAACCGGGAUUAAUACCAGAUACGACCACUUUAGACAUCUGUUGUGGUGGAAAGAAUUUUGGCUAGGGAUGAGCUCGCGGCCUAUCAGCUUGUUGGUGAGGUAACGGCUCACCAAGGCGACGACGGGUAGCCGGCCUGAGAGGGCGACCGGCCACACUGGGACUGAGACACGGCCCAGACUCCUACGGGAGGCAGCAGUGGGGAAUAUUGCGCAAUGGGCGAAAGCCUGACGCAGCGACGCCGCGUGGGGGAUGAAGGCCUUCGGGUUGUAAACCCCUUUCAGCAGGACGAAGCGAAAGUGACGGUACCUGCAGAAGAAGCGCCGGCUAACUACGCGUCAGCAGCCGC
rnacentral:rRNA from 1 species